AAUCUUCCACAAUGGGCGAAAGCCUGAUGGAGCAACGCCGCGUGUGUGAAGAAGGUUUUCGUAUCGUAAAACUCUGUUGUAAGGGAAGAACAAGUACAGUAGUAACUGUCUGUACCUUGACGGUACCUUAUUAGAAAGCCACGGCUAACUAGCUGCCAGCAGCCGCGGUAAUACGUAGGUGGCAAGCGUUGUCCGGAAUUAUUGGGCGUAAAGCGCGCGCAGGCGGUACUUUAAGUCUGACGUGAAAGCCACGGCUCUACCGUGGAGGGUCAAUGGAAACUGGGGGACUUGAGUGCAGAAGAGGAAAGUGGAAAUCCAAGUGUAGCGGUGAAAUGCGUAGAGAUUUGGAGGAACACCAGUGGCGAAAGCGACUUUCUGGUCUGUAACUGACGCUGAGGCGCGAAAGCGUGGGGAGCAAACA
rnacentral:rRNA from 1 species